CACCAUGGCUUGGAGGAUUUAACCUGUAGAGCGGGACGAAGGUCUUGCAGUGGCACAAGGUGGAGGUGAAGGGCUUGCGUGUCAGCGGAGGCGACACAUAGGAGAGGGAGUGAGCUGGAGAGAGAGGAGCUGGGUCCUGGUAACACGGAUUGGACUCUUGGGUUGCGGGAGCCAAAGAAUCCCUUUCUCUCAAGCCACUCCAGGGCCCUGAGGGACACGUGGGUGGAGUGGUGCUGGAAUUCUGAGACUCAUUUAGAAAAGCAUCCAGUUGUCAUCACCCCCGAUCGAUGGGCUUCUUGGAAAAGGCACAUUCAGUGUAACUCAACCAAGAUGCAGCAGGGACCUGUUUUCCCUGUGGAGUGUGAGUUCCGCUGGCACUGGCCUCGCUGAGGAGACUCCUUAGAGUUGCUAGAUUUAGCAAACGAAAAUACAGGAUGUCUCCUUAAAUAUGAAGUUCAGAUGAGGAAACAGAGGCACGGAGCGGCCGGGUAACUCGCCCAAGGACACAGAGCUCGAAAAUGCCAGUCUGGCUCCAGAGGCCAUGCUUUUAUCCGCAGAACCUGUCUGCAGCCUGGAUCUGGCCCAGGGCCCAGCCGUUUGCGGCCUCUGGUGGAUUUUUGGGGGACCGAUCCUUCACAAGGAUGGCUGUGAUCUUGGUGAUGAAAAAGUCCUGUGCCCUUUUGAGAAGCUUUGCAUCCUCUCCAGGAGCCUCUGGCCCAGAGGUGAGGGAAGGAUUGCUAAUCCCAGUUUACAGGAUGGCCUUUGCUUACCGUGUGCACUGAGGAACUUCUAGCUGCACUUUAACCGACUGAGCCACCCAGGCGCCCCACUUCUAGCUGCACUUUAAAACGGGGUUCCAGCGUGUCUGUCUCCGGGAAGGCUUCUCCCACCCAUAUUCCCGAGGCUGGCCUCAGGACCUGCCCGGGUUCCGCAGCCACCUAUCCUCCCCAGUGUGGCACUUAGCAGCCUGCUUGGUAAUCAAAGUGGCACAUGUCCCUUCCCUUGGUGGCUGCAGAGCCUGGGGAGGCCAGGGCCGCAGGUUAUUUACUGUGUAUCUGCAAAGCCCAGUACAAGGGGGUGUGUGAAUGAAGGAGGACUGGU